rnacentral:rRNA from 1 species
UACGGGGGGGGCAAGCGUUGUCCGGAUUUACUGGGCGUAAAGGAGCGUGUAGGCGGCCACGCAGGUCCGUUGUGAAAACUGGGAGGCUCAACGUUCCAGACCGUCGACGGAAACCGCGUGGCUAGAGUCCGGAAGAGGAGAGUGGGAAGUUCCUGGUGUAGCGGUGAAAUGCGCAGAUAUCAGGAAGAACACCAAUGGCGAAGGCAGCUCUCUGGGACGGUACUGACGCUGAGACGACGAAAGCGUGGGGAGCGAACA